AGAGUUUGAUCCUGGCUCAGGAUGAACGCUGACAGAAUGCUUAACACAUGCAAGUCUACUUGAUCCUUCGGGUGAUGGUGGCGGACGGGUGAGUAACGCGUAAAGAACUUGCCCUGCAGUCUGGGACAACAUUUGGAAACGAAUGCUAAUACCGGAUAUUAUGUGAGUUUCGCAUGAAAUUCAUAUGAAAGCUAUAUGCGCUGCAGGAGAGCUUUGCGUCCUAUUAGCUAGUUGGUGAGGUAACGGCUCACCAAGGCGAUGAUAGGUAGCCGGCCUGAGAGGGUGAACGGCCACAAGGGGACUGAGACACGGCCCUUACUCCUACGGGAGGCAGCAGUGGGGAAUAUUGGACAAUGGACCAAAAGUCUGAUCCAGCAAUUCUGUGUGCACGAUGAAGUUUUUCGGAAUGUAAAGUGCUUUCAGUUGGGACGAAGUAAGUGACGGUACCAACAGAAGAAGCGACGGCUAAAUACGUGCCAGCAGCCGCGGUAAUACGUAUGUCGCAAGCGUUAUCCGGAUUUAUUGGGCGUAAAGCGCGUCUAGGCGGUUUGGUAAGUCUGAUGUGAAAAUGCGGGGCUCAACUCCGUAUUGCGUUGGAAACUGCCAAACUAGAGUACUGGAGAGGUGGGCGGAACUACAAGUGUAGAGGUGAAAUUCGUAGAUAUUUGUAGGAAUGCCGAUGGGGAAGCCAGCCCACUGGACAGAUACUGACGCUAAAGCGCGAAAGCGUGGGUAGCAAACAGGAUUAGAUACCCUGGUAGUCCACGCCGUAAACGAUGAUUACUAGGUGUGGGGGGACUGACCCCUUCCGUGCCGCAGCAAACGCAAUAAGUAAUCCACCUGGGGAGUACGACCGCAAGGUUGAAACUCAAAGGAAU
rnacentral:rRNA from 1 species